rnacentral:misc_RNA from 1 species
UUGACUUAUUUGUAAGUUACUCAGAGAGGCCGGUAAUAAACAAGAGUUGGGCGUCCUCCGGCGGGGGCACUAAGUACCGUCCGCCGAAGCAACGAUACGGGGUACGUUCACAAUGGUAUGUGGGAGUUUUGCAACUCAUUAAUGAUCCCUCCGCUGGUUCACCAACGGAGA